GUUAGGACGCCUGAUGAAAGGAUUGCCUUGAUGAGGCAAAACAUGUGCCCCCCACUCCUAAUU
rnacentral:tRNA from 1 species